rfam:Gossypium arboreum cultivar AKA8401 contig_28428_1, whole genome shotgun sequence.
UGCUAAAAAUUUCAUCCAUUUCUAUUGUUAAAAAUUAACGUGGCUGAUGGAAUAAUCAAAUAGUUACAUGUGGCAUGCCACGUAUACCUCAUCUUAAUGUGCAAAGACCAGUUUUUAACUGUGGAAAUAGAUGAAACUUUUAACA